ACACACCGCAAAAACUAGACUGACAGACGCUCACCGACGGCCCCAAACUGUCCGACGCCCAACAAGUCGGCUCGGUGUGUCAGGGUCUUGAAUAUACU